CUAGUAUCUAAAUAAUAAGUACUAGUAUCUAAUGAUUAAGUACUAGUAUCUAACAAGUACUAGUAACUUUACAAAAGACACUUGUACCUAAAGAAUAAGCAUUAGUAGUUAAUGAACAAGUACUAGUACUUAAUGGAAAAGAUAUUAGUAUCUAAAAAAUAAGUACUACUAACGUUAAAUUAGAUACUAGUGCAGUUUAUAGAUUAAAUGUUAAAACAGCUUGCCAUAGACGCAUAUUUGCUGACACAUGACCACACACUGAUCUCCUGAAAUAUUCAGACUGUGCUUGAAGUGUAGAGCUGAUGAUUUUAUCAUCCUCCUCGUCACAAUUCUCUGAAUUAUAUAAAGUGCCUCUUGUCAGUCUGUCAUUAUGGAGAUCAGAGAGAGAUCUUCAUCUCCAGAUCACACCAGAGAGACUCUGAGGAGCCACAGAUCCAUGAAUCCUCCUGAAUCCAGUGAUGAUCCAGUGACCUCUGACCUCAGGAUCUGCAGUCAGAGAUCUUCAUCUCCUGAUCACAGCUGUGUGUCUCUGAAGAGUGACAGAUCCAUGGACUGCUUUAUGGGAGUCAGAAACACACUCAAUACACACAGACACUCGACACAAUGAGCACACAAGCUCCUACAUUAACAAACUUCAGGAGCGCAAUGAAAAUGUAAUAAAUAUGUAUGAAAUGCCA
ensembl:lncRNA